rnacentral:rRNA from 1 species
GACGAACGCUGGCGGCGUGCUUAACACAUGCAAGUCGAACGGAAAGGCCCUGCUUUUGUGGGGUGCUCGAGUGGCGAACGGGUGAGUAACACGUGAGUAACCUGCCCUUGACUUUGGGAUAACUUCAGGAAACUGGGGCUAAUACCGGAUAGGAGCUCCUGCUGCAUGGUGGGGGUUGGAAAGUUUCGGCGGUUGGGGAUGGACUCGCGGCUUAUCAGCUUGUUGGUGGGGUAGUGGCUUACCAAGGCUUUGACGGGUAGCCGGCCUGAGAGGGUGACCGGGCACAUUGGGACUGAGAGACGGCCCAGACUCCUACGGGAGGCAGCAGGGGGGAAUAUUGCACAAUGGGGGGAAGCCUGAUGCAGCAACGCCGCGUGCGGGAUGACGGCCUUCGGGUUGUAAACCGCUUUCGCCUGUGACGAAGCGUGAGUGACGGUAAUGGGUAAAGAAGCACCGGCUAACUACGUG